AACGAUUCCUGAACUCACCUAAGCUACUCUAGAGCACCUCGGGCAUCUGUUGGUACACUCUGACAGCGAAGUUUUGAGCCCGAGUUCCAGUCUCUGCUGGGAGUGACGGCCGACCUUAGUGGAUUCCCGCAGGCUGAGUUGAGUCUGAAACCUGUUCCCCCCCUUUGGACUGGUUGGGGUCAUCCCAGUCCACACUGUGCAUCCCACAACUCUGAGGACAUACCUAGUCUCUCUCGUUUCACCUCUGUGAAUAAAAUGGCAGAGGUCCUCCUUCCUGGGCUUACACUGACACCGACCACGCAGACUCGAAGUAACGCUGUUGAGACUUGCCUGUGGAGACUGGAGAUCCACUUCCAAAACUUCUGGGCAGACCUUGAGGCUCCCAUGGCCAAGUACACAAGCUGGAGAUCAGGGGACUCGAGUGCGAUGGAAAGGUAGACUCCUCAUGGGCACUGCUCUACCUCAAGCAGACGCUCUGCCCCCUACUUACCUUUUCAGGCCGCAGGCCACCAGGGGUUACCCCCCAGCACACUGACAUCACAAGCAGAAAACUCAUAGACAGCGAUCAAAGCCGGCAGCAACCCACCACUCUCCCAAGCAGGGAAACUACUUGGAAUACUCAAGACUCCGAGCCAGCGUGCGGAGGCUAUGGUCCUGCAAGAAAAUCCAAGGAGCAUUGCCUCAAACCUCCUGCAGAGGAAUGGAAGCUGCAUUGCAGUGCCCACGAGCUGACCCACUGCACAACAGCACUCCACAGACGUUGCACCUCCAACUCAGGCUGAUACCCCAGAGUGGGCAUAGGCUGACUGAUAUGAACUGUUACAGGGACUUGCACUACUCAGUAAU